rnacentral:misc_RNA from 1 species
UUUAACUUCCUGUUGUCAAAUUCUGACCACCGACAAAUAGCUGUACUGGAAAGAAACAAUACAUGACCUUUGUCGUGUAGAAAAUGCCGAGAUCAAGCAGAAGUCGAGAGUCUGGGUCUCGACGGAGCAGAUCGUCGAGCGGUCGUUCUCGGGGUCGCCACAGAGAGCACCACCAUCAUAGACAUGGACAUCAUUCCAUCAACUCUCAUCUCCGCCAGCUCUACAGGUUCCGUCAGAAACAAAAAGAGAAAAACUUCAAAGCUGCCUCCUGCAGCAUGAUUGCUAUUGUUGUGUUGUGCACUGCUUUGUCAGAGCCCAGGUGGGUGUCGCUGAAAGGUGGAGGCUGUACCAUAGGAGACGUCCAGUCGACCGUUACCACACAUUUGGAUCAUCUAGGCGCUUACCAGUUUUUCUAUCCAGGGAAAUUUUAUGCAGCAGAUGAAAACGAACAGUCACUGUAUCAGUAUGGACCGUCUCCCACUGAUUACAUGCACAACUGUGUGACCUACCGGGCUGUCGUUCUGAUGAAGGUUAUCAUCACCUUCACCUUCAUUGCCAUGGCUUGUUCCCUCGGAGGCUUCCUCUUAGAUUUGAUUGGACCCUCCCGGAGAGCUCUCAAAAUUCUAAGGAGAAAUGCUAUAUUGAAUAUAAUUGCUGUGAUAAUGUGUGUGAUCAUAAACAUGUUCUGUUACUGGUUGACGGCGGAGGUGCAGGCGCUUCAGAAGCACACUAAGGUACACAUUGGCAGUAAAGUGAACGUAAACUUUGACAUCAGCUUUUUCCUGGUUGCGGCAGCUGGAGCUGUAGGUGUUUUGGCCACAGGCUUGAACUGUCUUCGUCGGUAUCCAGCCUACGAUGACAGCCCGUCUGAGGCCUUGCUGGAUGAUUUUGAUGGAAUGGAGGGACUCUUAGCUCCAGAACCAGAUGCCUCCCCAUUGGCAAACAUUCCUCCACCACCGGCCUAUACCCCUUGAUACACCACCGGCCUAUACCCCUUGAUACAGGUGGCUUUGUGGAUCAGGACUGUGCUGCUGUGCCUAGGUUUUCUACACACUGUUAUAGCUAUAGCUGUAAUACAUCGCCCCUGUUGAGACCGUUACCACACAUACCCGAUAUACACUUACAGUAGAAUAUCUUUAAUCUGGGAAGCUUUAUCAUUGUAUCGCGCCGACACACUGUUGUGGAUUAAGUUCAGAAGUAAUAAUUUUUUACAUCACUGUCUUUUGCCUGUAAUAAGCCGGGGGCUAGCAUUUUUACAGUUCCGUAUUUAUACUGUAGUAAGCCUAGGGUGCCAGCAUAUAACCGCUGACUCAGAGGAGGAAGGUGGACUUAUUUCAGAACAACAGAAUAUCUUGGCAUCUCUACUGAAAUACAUUAGAUAUGGGUAAUAAGUUUAUUACCAGGCAUGGGCUUAUUGUCGGAUAAAUACAGUAGUAUAACGGAAGUUGGACGAUUUUUCUUGAAUUUAAACCUGGCUGUUUGCAGAAAAAAACUGAAUAUCAGAAACGACUUGUAUACUGAUCAUGGACAUUACUGGUCCAAUAAAGGUAUGUAGGAAUUUAUUCCGGAUAUGUGUCCAGUAGACAAACAAGGGUUUUACUGUUAAUUUUGUUUGUAAGCUUUGCCAAUAAGUUGCAUAAAUGAAUCAUAUGCUGUUACAGUGUAUCACCGUUAUGUAUUCCGUCUUUGCGUAUUGCCGAGUUAUCUUCU